rnacentral:rRNA from 1 species
UACGUAGGGGGCGAGCGUUGUCCGGAAUUAUUGGGCGUAAAGGGCGCGUAGGCUGCGGGGCAAGUCGGGUGUGAAAUCUCAGAGCUCAACUCUGAAACUGCACUCGAUACUGCUUUGCUUGAGGACUGGAGAGGAGAUUGGAAUUCACGGUGUAGCAGUGAAAUGCGUAGAUAUCGUGAGGAAGACCAGUGGCGAAGGCGGAUCUCUGGACAGUUCCUGACGCUGAGGCGCGAAGGCCAGGGGAGCAAACGGG